GAUGAACGCUGGCGGCGCGCCUAACACAUGCAAGUCGAACGGUUAAAGCACCUUUUAGGUGUGUAUAAAGUGGCGAACGGCUGAGUAACACGUGGGCAACCUGCCCUCCUCUUGGGGAUAGCCUCGGGAAACCGAGGAUAAUACCCGAUACUUCAAUGUGGCCGCAUGACGACAUUGAGAAAGCUUUUGCGGAGAAGGAUGGGCCCGCGGCCUGUUAGCUUGUUGGUGGGGUAGAGGCCUACCAAGGCAAUGAUGGGUAGCUGGGUUGAGAGACCGACCAGCCAGAUUGGGACUGAGACACGGCCCAGACUCCUACGGGAGGCAGCAGUGGGGAAUCUUGCACAAUGGGCGAAAGCCUGAUGCAGCGACGCCGCGUGCGGGACGAAGGCCUUUCGGGUUGUAAACCGCUUUUCAGCAGGGACGAGGCGAAAGUGACGGUACCUGCAGAAGAAGCCCCGCUAACUACA
rnacentral:rRNA from 2 species